UACGUAGGGUGCGAGCGUUGUCCGGAAUUACUGGGCGUAAAGAGCGCGCAGGCGGUCGUGCAAGUCGCGUGUGAAAGCCCCCGGCUCAACUGGGGAGGGUCACGCGAUACUGCUCGACUCGAAGGCAGGAGAGGGAAGUGGAAUUCCAGGUGUAGCGGUGAAAUGCGUAGAUAUCUGGAGGAACACCGGUGGCGAAGGCGGCAUCCUGGACCGGCACUGACGCUGAGGAGCGAAAGCCAGGGGAGCAAACGGG
rnacentral:rRNA from 1 species